rnacentral:rRNA from 1 species
CCUACGGGAGGCUGCAGUGAGGAAUAUUGGUCAAUGGACGAGAGUCUGAACCAGCCAAGUAGCGUGAAGGAUGACUGCCCUAUGGGUUGUAAACUUCUUUUAUAUGGGAAUAAAAUGUUACACGUGUGGGAUUUUGUAUGUACCAUAUGAAUAAGGAUCGGCUAACUCCGUGCCAGCAGCCGCGGUAAUACGGAGGAUCCGAGCGUUAUCCGGAUUUAUUGGGUUUAAAGGGAGCGUAGGUGGAGUGUUAAGUCAGUUGUGAAAGUUUGCGGCUCAACCGUAAAAUUGCAGUUGAAACUGGCAGUCUUGAGUACAGUAGAGGUGGGCGGAAUUCGUGGUGUAGCGGUGAAAUGCUUAGAUAUCACGAAGAACUCCGAUUGCGAAGGCAGUUCACUGGACUGCAACUGACACUGAGGCUCGAAAGUGUGGGUAUCAAACAGGAUUAGAUACCCGAGUAGUC